ACUAAAAAAACUUCGCUAUAUCCGUGUUCGUACUAAACGAGUUUUACUGUACUGACCUUGCACUGUUUAAGGUUAUAUGGAACAUUUGUCAAUAAGAUAAGGUACUUUCCCCGGUUUAGAAUUUUUAAAUUUCACAAUAUUUGACCAAAAAAUAUGUAUUGAAAUUCUUUGGAAAGGUAAAAUUUUAAAAUCACCAGAGGAUUUGAACUCAUGACCAACAGAUUCCUAGAGAAACCUCUAACCCACUACGCAAUGCUGUUCGGUGACAAUUUUGGGAAAGAAACACUAUUUAUAAAAUUACACUUGAUUUUAUUGUUCAUUUCGAUAAAUAGUAAGUCACAACAUGGAAGUGUCCCAUACCAUCUUAAUUAACUUAGCUUAAAUCACUUGAAAUUGGAAUUUCAUGAAUAAAUUAUAUAAUA
rnacentral:sRNA from 1 species